rnacentral:misc_RNA from 1 species
UGAAGCAUUGCGUGCCUGGUAUUACGCGUGCACACGGAGAACGACUUGUGUUUCAGAGCCAGUCUUCAUCUACAUAGGUUCAGAUCACCUCAGAUUUCUUUCCUUUGGCCACGAAUUUAAUCAACUCUUACUCUGUGUAAAAAGAAGUCUUAUUGCUGCAAAUUGAGUAAUUCCCACGUGGUUACAGGCCGCAUUACUGACCUUGUUGACAGGUCUGGCAUCAUGUUUAUGAUACAAUGAUCUCAGACCACCUCGUGGUGGAUCCCUUGUCAACUCCGAGAUGUCCACAGCCAGGAAGGCCUUUAAGAUAUUUAUCGGUGGCUUUGUGUUUGGCGUUGGGGGCUCGCUCACGUUCUUUGACAAAGUCGGCUACUUUGCAACUGUGGAUGGAAAAUCAAUGCAGCCUGUUCUUAACCCCAUCCAUGAAACACAAAGAGACAUCAUUUUCCUGAACCACUUUGCUGUUAGGGAGUACCAGCUCAAGCGUGGAGACAUCGUUUCACUAGCAUCCCCAAGUCGUCCAGAUGAAGUUCUCAUCAAACGGGUCAUUGCUUUGGAAGGUGACACAAUCAGGACGUUGAGCUAUAAGAAUCGCUACGUAACCAUUCCGGAGGGUCAUUGCUGGAUUGAAGGAGACCAUCACAGCGUCAGUCUGGAUAGCAACUAUUUUGGACCGGUUGCCCUCGGUCUGGUCCAUGCCCGUGCCUCCCGCAUCAUCUGGCCCCUGCAUCGCCAGCAGCGGCUGGAGCCAAGACUACCCAAAGAUCGCCAGCCCAUCAGUCUGUCUCCGUCCCUGGUGGAGGAGCUGAUGGAAGAGUACCAGGAGGUUGAGUCUCUAGAAUUGGAAGACGUGCAGAUAUGAAUCUGCCCAUCACAGACACCCUCGCACACGUGUGGCUUGUGAUUACCUGCAUGUCUGACAGAAAUCUGAACAUUGGGUUAAUGUUUUCUGUGCAUCACAUACAUGCACAGUGUCAUGUGCACUGCUACUUUUGGCACUAACGGUUGCAGCAGAGACUAUGAGCGUUUUCUAAAAGAGUGGAUUUGGCUUAGACUUUGGUUUUGCUGGUUCCAGCCACUUUGAAGAAGCAUUCAAAAGUACAUGUUCAAGCUCUGACUGGAACCAGCGAAAUCGAAGUCUAAGCCGAAUCCACUCGAUUUGAAAAUGCUCUGUGUUGGUGGUUUUUGUGGCUGCAUUUGAGAUAAGACACUCUUACUACCGUGAAAAGUAUUUUUGUAAUUUGGAGGACAUUUUCAUGAAGUGUGUUGCUAAAACCAAAGGUUAAUUUGUAAUGCCAAUAUUUAAUGGCUCUGUAGCCAACAUUGUCACGUUAGAAAUUUGCCAAGUGCACAUCCACCUCUGGUAGUUCUCAGGGUGUUACAUCAUUAUUAUCCCUGACCAUCAGGCCCAUAAACAUUCCUGCAAGCACCUCCGCUCCGUGGGGUGUAUAAAGCAAGAUGCUUCCACUCCAGGUGCAAACUGCCACCCAAGCACAUCAGCCAUCUCAACCCUCACAGGUACCCAUUCAUGCUUCUAGGUGGAGAAACGUCAGUAAAGUAACUAGUCCAAGGUCACAAUAUGUAACCAGCUGCUGGAUUCGAACCCCUGACCCUAUGAUUGGGAGUUCCAAUGUUAGUGACUAUGCCACACACCAAAGUUGAAAUAAUCCAUUGAAGGGCAGCGAGGUCCCUGUGUAUUUGCUUUUCUAGAAAGAGCUGUGUCUCUCGAUUAAAUCAUUUGCCGCAUGUAGAGGAAGGGUGUUCAACAUAUUUUGUUGUAUGGUUGGAUUGAGUUCAGGGAUUAAAACAUGAUUGAGAACAUGCAGUCCCCAAAAUGCAAUACUGGCAUUGCAGCAUCUGAGCCAUCCAGCCCUAGGUUGGUGGGAGCCAUCCAGCCCUAGGUUGGUGGAGCCAUCCAGCCCUAGGUUGGUGGGAGCCAUCCAGCCCUAGGUUGGUGGUAGGUCUCCAAUCUUUCCCAGGUGUACUCAAUUAUUUUGUUGAGGGAGUUGCCAGGUUCUUGUAUCUUGUAAUCACUGUACCUGAUGUCUCAUUCAGUGUCAGUAAUUUAGCGCUUGCCGAUGCAUCCGUCCUGUCCAGCCACUUAACGUCACACAGUUGUGGUCACAGAUGACCCCAACUCCACCGAGGCUGUUGAUUGGUCAGAGUUUAUCAGCUGCUGACCCUGUCACAUGACACAGCAUGGUAGUUUUCAAAGUCAUUGACAGCAUCAGUGAAGCAGUCCAGUGCAUUGAGAUUUCAAUCACCUUGUCAAAUUCUGCCUAAUGUUGAUCAUGUAUAAAUGUGAAUUGCACGCAGGAAUAUUUACAUGGUGCAACCAUAAAUCUGUUUAGUAGAGGCAAUGUGUUGAGGUUAAGGAAGUGGGCAGGGGCUUUAUAUAACUAGAACAGGCUCAAGUAAACCUUAUGUGCAUUGAUUGUAACUGACUUAAAAUAACCAAAAAUAGCCUCCAAGGCACCAGCAGCAAUGCAUGAACUCUGUACAUCUUAUCAUAUGCUGAAGCUUGCAAGAUAAUCAAAUUGAAAUUAUGACUUCCAGAAAAUUGCAACAUUCUAUUAUUCCUAUGCACGCACAGGCCUGUAAGUCAGAUUAAUUUUAAUUAUCAGAAUCUGUGCACAUGGAAUAUUUGGAGUUGAAUUGCUUUGUUGGACAAGACUUUCAUUGCUGCAUCGUUGUAAGACCUUGUCCAAAUCGGUUGGCUGUGGCUCGCAGUAGGGCAUGAAUCAAUGGGAAAUGGCUACAGCUGCUGACUAGCCAUCUGCUGUGUGUUUAACACCUGUAUUGCUAGCCGUGGCUAUAACACUGUGUCCCAGGGGAAGCCAUUUUAGCUGGUAAAUCGGUUCCUUUUGCAAAUUGAGUUGGCAAGCCCUGUAGUUUGAUGACUUUGCUGAAUUGCAUGUGCUUUGUACAUAAUGUUUAUUUUUUCUUCUGCUGUUAUUGGAAUAGAAUUUUAUCAUUGUCCUCUUAAUAAAACUCAAAAGUAUUAAUGAUCUUGUGAUAUUAGCAAUUUUAAAUGUAAGACUCUGUUUGGAUUUAGAAUAAAAAACGCCAAACAUUGAUUUUGUUAUUUAAAGUGAGUAAAUGCGGGGCUAACAGAAUAUA